GCCACGGCGCACGCGCGUUCCUGCCGCAGGGUCUGGCUCUACUGCCUAGGCUGGAGUGCAGUGGCACGAUCUGGGCUUACUGCAGCCUCCACAUCCCUUCAAGCAAUCCUGCCUCCACCUCCCUAGAUGCUGGGACCACAGAGGCCAGGGAACUUCCUUGUACUAAGGAAUAAGAAAUACAUUGGUGAAAGGAGACCUGUCAAGGCCAAGAGUGGGGGAUACUGCCAUGGAACAUGGAUCUCUAGUAUCAAAAGGGAUGAUGGAAUUCCAGAAUACCAGAAGCCAAAUGAUAACACCCAGCUAACAGAGCAAAGCUUCCUCAUUUUCUCUUGCCACCACCAUGUAAGAAGUGCCUUUCGCCUCCCACCAUGAUUCUGAGGCCUUGCCAGCCUUGUGGAAAUAUCUUUCCAACGCAUUAGAAAGAGAAUUCUCAUUUGGCUUCUCUCCAUCUAGUCUGGCUCCAUCAGAGAUCUGACUGUUUUCUUCCUAAAUGACUCUGCUAGAAGGUCACUAUAUAAUCAGCCUGGAGGAUGUCCUGAUUUCAUCUUCAUUUAAUUCUUUUUGAUUGACUACUACACUGGAGUGUUUGUUUAUUCAUCUGAGCAAGAUAUUAAAAGUUCCUUUAAAUAGAUGACAUUUAAAAGGCAUAAAUUGGCUUCUCUGACCACCCUCACCCUUCAACUGUCAGCGUAUCCUCCUCAUUCUUCUUGGAUGCAGGACAAGAGUUCAGCCCCUGCUGAAGGUGAUAAUGAGCACUAAAAUUUUCAGAAGUAAGAACAGAAGUCAUCACAACCUUUGUUCUCUGUAGAUCCACCAAUCUGUACUCCAUCCAGAGCAUGUUAGAAGACUUCGGUGAACACAGGACCAAACUCCCUACUUCUCUUUUCUCCUUUUAAACCUCUGUAGGAAUACAGACAAUUUUAGAAAUGAGAAUAUUUAGUUAUGGAAAAAGUGAAGACCUUGGUGGGAAGUUUGUUUCUAUAGAAUGAAAAGCAUGAAUACUAAAUUUAUAAAACUUAGUAGGAAUCACAGCCAGACGCGGUGGCUCAUGCCUGUAAUCCCAGCACUUUGGGAGGCUGAGAUGGGUGGAUCACCUGAGGUUGGGAGCUCGAGACCAGCCUGACCAAUAUGAAGAAACCCCACCUCUACUAAAAAUACAAAAUUAGCUGGGCGUGGUGACGCAUGCCUGCAAUCCCAGCUACUAGGGAGGCAGAGGCAAGAGAAUGGCUUGAACCCAAGAGGCGGAGGUUGUGGUAAGCUGAGACUGCGUCCGUGCACUCCACCGUGGGCAACAAGAACAAAACUCCAUCUCAAAAAAAAAAAAAAAAA
rnacentral:lncRNA from 1 species